UCAAUAUUUUCUCCAUCCUAAAAUUCUUGUCUUAGGUUUGUGUAAAAAUAGAUGUAUCUAAAUACUAAUACAUGACUAGAUGCAAUCAUAUUUAAACAAAUCAAAGACAAUAAUUUUGGGACGGAGGAAGUAUGAU
rfam:Hordeum vulgare subsp. vulgare, WGS project CAJW01000000 data, contig: morex_contig_1560652